rnacentral:rRNA from 1 species
CGAAGGAUGCAAGCGUUAUCCGGAUUCAUUGGGUUUAAAGGGUGCGUAGGCGGACUGAUAAGUCAGUGGUGAAAUCUCUUUGCUUAACAAAGAAACUGCCAUUGAUACUGUCGGUCUAGAGUAUAGAUGACGUUGGCGGAAUAUGACAUGUAGUGGUGAAAUACUUAGAUAUGUCAUAGAACACCGAUUGCGAAGGCAGCUAACGAAACUAUAACUGACGACUGAGGCACGAAAGUGCGGGGAUCAAACAGGAUUAGAUACCCUGGUAGUCCGCACCGUAAACGAUGAUUACUCGUUGUUGGCGAUAUGACAGUCAGCGACCAAGCGAAAGCGAUAAGUAAUCCACCUGGGGAGUACGCCGGCAACGGUG